rnacentral:rRNA from 1 species
CUCCUGGAUUCAGCGGCGGACGGGUGAGUAAUGCCUAGGAAUCUGCCUGGUAGUGGGGGAUAACGUCCGGAAACGGGCGCUAAUACCGCAUACGUCCUGAGGGAGAAAGUGGGGGAUCUUCGGACCUCACGCUAUCAGAUGAGCCUAGGUCGGAUUAGCUAGUUGGUGGGGUAAAGGCCUACCAAGGCGACGAUCCGUAACUGGUCUGAGAGGAUGAUCAGUCACACUGGAACUGAGACACGGUCCAGACUCCUACGGGAGGCAGCAGUGGGGAAUAUUGGACAAUGGGCGAAAGCCUGAUCCAGCCAUGCCGCGUGUGUGAAGAAGGUCUUCGGAUUGUAAAGCACUUUAAGUUGGGAGGAAGGGCAGUAAGUUAAUACCUUGCUGUUUUGACGUUACCAACAGAAUAAGCACCGGCUAACUUCGUGCCAGCAGCCGCGGUAAUACGAAGGGUGCAAGCGUUAAUCGGAAUUACUGGGCG